AAGGAAAUCCAGUGACAUCAUGGAAUUGGAUAUUAUUUUGUCUGCAUUUGAGAAAAUCUUCCUGCAAUAUCAACAAAGAAUUGAAUCUACAGUUUAUAAAGAAGCUGUCACCAAAUUUUACCUUAAUAUUAAAGAACAACUCAUCAGAAUGCUCAAAGAAGUCCAGAU